rnacentral:misc_RNA from 1 species
UUAAGUUCAGCGGGUAUCCCUACCUGAUCCGAGGUCAACCUUAGAAGUUGGGGGUUGUUGGCAAGCAACCACCGGACCCAAUAGCGAGAUAAAUUACUACGCUUAGAGCCAGAUGGCACCGCCACUGAUUUUAAGGGCCGCGAGACCGCGAACCCCAAUACCAAGCUAGGCUUGAGUGGUCAUAAUGACGCUCGAACAGG